rnacentral:rRNA from 1 species
UACGUAGGGUGCGAGCGUUAAUCGGAAUUACUGGGCGUAAAGCGUGCGCAGGCGGUUUUGUAAGCCAGAUGUGAAAUCCCCGGGCUUAACCUGGGAAUGGCAUUUGGGACUGCAAGGCUUGAGUGCGGCGGAGGAGACUGGAAUUCCGUGGUGUAGCAGUGAAAUGCGUAGAUAUCAGGAGGAAUACCGAUGGCGAAGGCAGGUCUCUG